UCUAAUCAAGCUAUGGAACGAUUGGGCU
rnacentral:piRNA from 1 species